AUGAAGACAGAGAUCGAGGAGGAAGGCACCAGAGGGUCCUGGACUGAGGAGGACAAAUCCCUUUGUGCUUCUGUGUUGGGCUUAGAUGCCUUCACAUAUCUGACGAAAGGUGGAGGUGCCAUAUCUGAAAAUCUCGUAGCAGCGUCUGCGUUGGUGGGCUUGCAAAAUAAACUCCAGGACCUAGUUGAAGCUGAUGGUAAAAGCCUUCGUUGGAACUACGCCAUCUUCUGGCAACUCUCCCACACCAAAUCUGGUGAACUUGUCCUUGGCUGGGGUGAUGGAUCUUGUCGUGAACCCCAUGAUAAUGGAGGUAAUAGCAUCCCAGGUACCCUAACUUGCAUCCAAUGUGAUGAUCUAGUCCUAAACUUGCAAAACUAG
rnacentral:rRNA from 1 species